rnacentral:rRNA from 1 species
GAUGAACGCUAGCUACAGGCUUAGCACAUGCAAGUCGAGGGGCAGCAUAUCGAAAGCUUGCUUUUGAUGAUGGCGACCGGCGCACGGGUGAGUAACGCGUAUCCAACCUUCCCUAUACUAGAGGAUAGCCCGGCGAAAGUCGGAUUAAUACUCUAUGUUGUAUUUCGAGGACAUCUGAAUAAUACCAAAGGUUUACCGCUAUAGGAUGGGGAUGCGUCUGAUUAGGUUUUUUGGCGGUUUUUACGGCCCACCUAGCCAACGAUCAGUAGGGGUUCUGAGAGGAAGGUCCCCCACAUUGGUACUGAGACACGGACCAAACUCCUACGGGAGGCAGCAGUGAGGAAUAUCGGUCAAUGGCCGAGAGGCUGAACCAGCCAUGCCGCGUGCGGGAGGACGGCCCUAUGGGUUGUAAACCGCUUUUGUAGGGGAGCAAUAAGGUCCACGUGUGGACUGAUGAGAGUACCCUGCGAAUAAGCAUCGGCUAACUCCGUGCCAGCAGCCGCGGGUAAUACGGAAAGGUCCGGGCGUUAUCCGGGAUUUUAUUGGGUUUAAAGGGAGCGCAGGCCGAUGGGUUAGCGUGACGUGAAAUGUAGCCGCCCAACGGCUGAACUGCGUCCCGAACUGCUGUCUUGGAGUGGAAGUAACGACGUUCAGGCGGGAAUUUCUCUUUGGGGUGUUAACCGGCGGGUGUG